GUGUAGACAUUUGUUUCACUUUAAUGAAUGACAUCACUUGAAUGGCCUCCUCAUCAUGAGAGUAGAAUGCACUGAUAUCCCAGGAGGGGAUCCGCACUGUUGGUGUGACGAAGAGAGCCCUUUCCCCGGCUUGAACUUGCGGAGUUCUGGAGAAGGGGAGACCCGUUGCACAGAGAUCGGGCCUCCUUACAAGAAAGGAAUGGGACUGAGCAACACUGCCUCCCUGUGAGGCAGGUGAGGGAAACCUGAAGGAGACUCUGUUGGACUCGUGGACACCCCUGGAGAUCUCACCAGGAGGACGGAGGAUUCUAGGCUCAAUGCAGGGGUCUAAGGGUUUUGGUUCAGGGCUGGUUUCAGGACAGUGUGUGUUGAAGGCAGGAAUCCGUCUAAACAACAUACCCUGGCAGGGUUUCAAAGCCUUUGCAGAACAAACUGGUUGGGCCCCAGAGGGUGGACCUGUGCCCAUGAGAUGGAAAAGCUGGCUUUUCCUGCUGGAACAGGACCAAGCAGGCGGUGGUGCUCGUGGACUCUUAGAGUUCUUGCUCUGUCUCUCUCCUCAUUUACUUCUUGGAAGCUCCCUGUGCUCCUGGAUAAGGGGGUGGGGUGUGCUGUGGGAGGGGGAGGACACAGUGCUUGACAGGAUGUUCUGCACGUGAAGGACAUAGGGGACAUAUGAAGUAAAACAAAAUAAAAUAAAGGAAAAAACUAGGAAGGGAGGGAGGGAGGGAGAAAGAGAGGGAGAGAGAGGGAGGAAGGAAGAAAUGAAGGAAGGAAGGAGGAAAGGAGGAAGAGAGAAAGUUCUCACCAUAUUUUUAUCUGGGAGAGUCUACAGGAGGUUGAAUGGGACGCAGGCGCAGUGGAGGAGCACGGGAUUGCCGCUGAGGUGAACCGGACAAUUCGACGGGCUGCCGUUACACAAACGGACACACGGUGUGUCUGCAAGGUCACAGCCGUGCUUGACAGCGGCUACAAAGACAGAGGACGGCUGGAGCUGAGCCCAGCUCAUCACGAUCCCAGACCACAGACGUGCCCCUUGCCGGCUUUGCCAGCGUGCUGGGCACGUCACCCUUCCUGCUUGUCGUUUUCUAUCGCUCCGGGAUUGUCAACAACUGCCAAGGAGCUGGGCGAGGAGAAUAUCAGAGCGUAUCAGGUGGGCAGCGCCUCAGGGCCUCAGCCCAAACGCACCAGAGUUCAUCUUCUCAAACACCAGGUACCACCUACGUGGUCUCAAAUACCUGAACUUCUACCCGGGCGAACAUCCUUUUGCUGUUUAAGCGCAAGAGCCCAAGCUAACUCCACAAAGUGUCUCUUGGAUAAAACCAGUUGUCUCUAUGGACACCAUCUUGGUCUGCCUGUCCUUGGGAGAGAUCGUGAAGUCCAGGACGAAGGUAGACUUCUCCUCAUGAUAGCUGCAGGGUAUUUGUAAGAGACCUUGAGCACCAAUCACGCCACCCUCCAGCCCAGCACAGCUUGGUCCUUGCACAGUUGGACCUAAACAGGACUUCACUUCCAGCCUCCCCUGUGGAAUUGGUGCCUUUCUUAUCCUCAAAUGCCACGUGUUCUCUUUAGCUGUUGCCCUUCCCCCAUUAGGAACCGCUUUGGGAAAGAACUUAAAACUUAUUUAUCCUAAGAACUCAGGUUUAAAUAAUCUGAUGCGUUUUUGCAUUUUAGGAAACCUCAGUGGACAGAACUUCUGGUGAAGGAGGUUCCUUUUUGGUGGUAGUGCCGGCAGAAGGGCAGUGAGGGGAUAGUUUUCUGGUACCCUUGGCAGCCCUACUGGAGUCUCCGCCUAUAGGUCUCCUCCACCCUGUGGCAGCCUAGCUCUGGUUCAGACAUGUGGGCUUGGGGCAUAGCUGACCCUUGGAACCACUAAAAGUGCCAGAGGAGCAAACAUGCCCUUGACUACUGCCAUUUUGUGGGCUCCAGAGCAUUUCCUUUCACAACCCCAUUUUGUUUCCUCUCCCCACAAGUUAAGUAAGGCAUCUGGCAGCAAAAUGCAGAGUCAGCAGGAACAGGGCUGUUUACUCUAUGGUGCCUGGCGACGUCUCAAAGUCGAAUGCGUUCUCAACCCUGACUGUGCUUUUGGAAGUUCUCCCAAA
ensembl:lincRNA